UACGGAGGGUGCGAGCGUUGUCCGGAAUCACUGGGCGUAAAGGGCGCGUAGGCGGCAUGCCAAGCGUGUGGUGAAAGCCCGGGGCUCAACCCCGGGUCGGCCGUGCGGACUGGCGUGCUCGAGCACUGUAGGGGCGGGUGGAAUUCCGGGUGUAGCGGUGGAAUGCGCAGAUAUCAGGAGGAACACCGGUGGCGAAGGCGGUUCUCUGGGAAUAUCCUGACGCUGAGGAGCGAAAGUGUGGGGAGCGAACAGG
rnacentral:rRNA from 1 species